rnacentral:rRNA from 1 species
UGGGGAAUCUUGCGCAAUGGGCGAAAGCCUGACGCAGCGACGCCGCGUGAGUGAUGAAGGCCUUCGGGUUGUAAAGCUCUGUGGGGGGAGACGAAUAAGUCGGAGCGAAUACCUCCGAUGAUGACGGUAUCUCCUUAGCAAGCACCGGCUAACUCUGUGCCAGCAGCCGCGGUAAGACAGAGGGUGCAAACGUUGUUCGGAAUUACUGGGCGUAAAGCGUGUGUAGGCGGUCUGACAAGUCGGACGUGAAAGCCCCGGGCUCAACCCGGGAAGUGCGCUCGAUACUGCCAGACUUGAGUGUCGGAGAGGUUGGUGGAAUUCUCGGUGUAGAGGUGAAAUUCGUAGAUAUCGAGAGGAACACCUGCGGCGAAGGCGGCCAACUGGACGAACACUGACGCUGAGACACGAAAGCGUGGGGAGCAAACAG